UGCAUGCAGCGUAAGCCUAGUUCGGUUUUGUUCGCAUGUAUCGUGCUCACAAGGUCGCAUGCCGUCGACUCGCCGGCUUUGCGCACCUCUUGCAUUCUUAUCAUAUACUGUCCCGUCGUUGUUUACGCAGUUUCGGCAUGCACUAUCGGUCGGUUGCAGCCAGUUUCAAGCCGGUUGCUAGUUAAUUCAGUCGUGCUUUGAGAGACUUAUAUCGUUUAUUCGGACUUCAAUAUUCUAAAUUUGUGUUAUACUCGAAGAUCAAUCGACUAAUUAUUUGUACUUUGCGACUAUAGUAAUUUGUUUAAUGUUCGGAAAUGCCGGUUUUUGAUCGCGUUUGUUAUGUAUAUUACAAGUCACGUGAUAGUGGAUUUGAUAACAUUCUUCACUCGGCGUUGUGUUUGGUGUCGGCUACUAAAUUAAUCAGAUAUAUAUCGCCCCAAUGUUGAUUCUCAUCUUUAAGAAUGCUCCAUCAGGCUCGUGUACUGCACUCGUUGUGCCUGGCAGUCCGAUAAGCUGUACACUGGAGUCUCUACUACCGCCACCUUCGUACGGUGCCUUGAAUGGGAGUCACUACAGUCGCUGCCUUCGUACGGUGCCCUAAAUGGGACUUUUUAUGGAUCCUUUGGAUGAAGCAUUGGCAAUUCCUGAGAUGCCCAAGUUUAUCAAUAAGGAGCAAGUUGAGAGAUUCCGUGGUACUGGUAGAGUGCGUAUUGAGGAUGAUGUUUUGACUACUGAAAAUGGAUGUGUCAACUGGACAUUUUAGUCCAGUGGGUAUUUUAACCCAGAACUGUCCACGAAAUUGAAGAUUGGAUUGCCGGUGUUGAUGAUGAUUCCAAACACGAUUGAAUGAAUUUACAACAUUUUGAAGCUGAUAUUGAUAUCAUAUUAUGUAUCUAGUUAAAUGGUAUAAAAGGGCAUUAUAUAAUUGCAUAUUAUUAUCCUGUUUUCAUGCAUGUAUUGUUAAAAAUGCUGUAUAUAUUGAGGAAUUGAGUUUGUGAUUCUACAUGUUUGAAUAAAAUUGUUGUUUUAUAUUUUUGACUAUAAA